GGGCCCGCACAAGCGGUGGAGCAUGUGGUUUAAUUCGACGCAACGCGAAGAACCUUACCAGGGUUUGACAUCCCCUGACAGCCGUUGAAAGAUGGUUUUUUACCUUCGGGUAAACAGGGAGACAGGUGGUGCAUGGUUGUCGUCAGCUCGUGUCGUGAGAUGUUGGGUUAAGUCCCGCAACGAGCGCAACCCCUACGUUUAGUUGCUAACAGGUGAAGCUGAGCACUCUAGAUGAACUGCCGUUGACAAAACGGAGGAAGGUGGGGAUGACGUCAAAUCAUCAUGCCCCUUAUGUCCUGGGCUACACACGUGCUACAAUGGCCGGUACAAAGGGCAGCGAAGUCGCGAGGCGGAGCAAAUCCCAAAAAGCCGGUCUCAGUUCGGAUUGCAGGCUGAAAUUCGCCUGCAUGAAGUCGGAAUCGCUAGUAAUCGCAGGUCAGCAUACUGCGGUGAAUACGUUCCCGGGCCUU
rnacentral:rRNA from 1 species